rnacentral:lncRNA from 1 species
UGAGAAAUCGGAUGGUUGCCGUGUCUGUGUAGAAAGAAGUAGACAUGGGAGACUUUUCAUUUUGUUCUGCACUAAGAAAAAUUCUUCUGCCUUGGGGAAAAAAAAAAAAACAAAACAAAACAAACAAAAAAAAAGUGAAACUGUAUACUCAUUACACAUUAACUCUCCAUUCUCCGCUCCCCCAACCCCUGGUAACCACCAUUCUACUUUUUGUCUCUGAAUUUCACUACUCUAAGUGCCUCAUAUAAGUGGAAUCCUACAAUAUUUGCCCUUUUUGCCUGCCUUAUUAUACUUAACAUAACGUCUUCCAGGUUGACCCAUGUUGUAGCUGUGUCAGAAUCUCACUCCAGCCAGGCAUGGUGGCUCACACCUGUAAUCCCAGCAUUCUGGAGGCCAAGGCAGCUGGAUCACCUGAGGUCAGGGGUUCGAAACCAGCCUGGCCAACGUGGCGGAGACCACCCGGUCUCAACCAAAAAUACAAAAAUUAGCCAGGUGUGGUGGCAUGUGCCUGUAAUCCCAGCUACUCGGGAGGCUGAGGCACAAGAAUCACUUGAACCCAGGAAGCAGAGGUUGCAGUGAGCCAAGAUCGAGCCACUGCACUCCAGCCUGGCCGACAGAGGACAGAGCAAGACUCCAUCUCAAUUAAAAAAAAAAAAACAAACUCCUUUUGUAAGGCUAUAUUAUAGUCUGUCAUAUUUUGUUUAUUCAUCCAUCAAUGGACAUUUGGGUUGCUUUCACCUUUUUGCUAUUGUGAAUAAUGCUGCACUGGUAUAAAAAUAUCUAUUUCAGCCCCUGAUUUCAGUUCUUCUGGGUACAUACCCAGGUGUAGAAUUGUUGAAUCAUAUGGUGAUUCUUUAAUUUUUUGAGGAACUGCCAUAUUGUUUUCUACAGUGGCUGUGCCAUUUUAUACUCCCAUCAGCAAUGCACAAAGACUCCGAUUUCUCCAAGGCCUUGCCAAUACUUAUUUUCUGUUUUGUUUUUUUUAAUAAUACCUAUCCUAGUGUAGAUGAAGUGGUAUCUCACUGUGAUUUUGAUUUGCAUUUAUCUACUUAUUAGUGAUGUUGAGCAUCUUUUCGUAUGCUUAUUGACUGUUUGUAUAUCUUCUUUGAAUAAAUGUCUAAUCAAGUUCUUUUAAUCAAGUUGUUUUCUUGUUGCACUAUAGAAGCUAUUUGUAUACUGUGUAUAUUAAACCCAUAUCAGGUAUCUGAUUUGCAAAUAUUUUCUCCCAUUUUGUGGGUUGCCUUUUUACUCUCUUGAUAGUGUCCUAUUUUGAACAAAAGUUUAAUUAAUGUAUUUAGAGACAGAGUCUUGCUAUGUUGCCCAGACUGGAGUACAGUGGCUGUUCACAGAUGCAGUGAUUGCACACUGCAGCCUCAAACUCCCGAGCUCAAGCGAACCUCCCACUUCAGCCUCCCAAGUAGUUGAAACUAUAGACAUGGGCCACCAAGCCUAGCCAAAAGUUUAAUUUUGAUGAAUUCCAAUUUAUCUAUUUUUUUCUUCUGUUGCCUGUGCUGUUGGUGUCAUAUCCAAAAGAUCAUCACCAAACCCACUGUUAUGAAACUUUUCUCCUAUGUCUUCUAAGAAUAUUAUAGUUUUAGCCCUUACACUUAGGUCUUUGAUCCAUUUUGAGUUCAUGUUUGUAUGUGGUAUGUGGUCCAAAUUCAUUCUUUUGCAUGUGGAUAUUCAGUUCUCCCAACACCAUUUGUUAAAAAGACUGUCCUUUUUCCAUUGAAUGGUUUUGGCACUCCUGUCAAAAAUCUUUUAACCAUAUAUAUGAGGGUCUAUUUAAUUUGUUGAACAUGUGGAAUAAAAUUAGAGUAACUUGUACUUACCUGCCCGUUUUAACAUCGGUUUCAGUUGUGGGUUAUGCUUGCUUAUUUCCCUCAUUAUGGAUUGCAUUGCCUGCUACUUUGUAGAACUGAUACUCUUUGAUUGGGUGCCAGACAUUGUGAGUUUCACCUUGUUGGGUGCUGGAUAUAUUUGUAAUCUGUAAAUCCUCUUGAGCUUUCUUCUGGGACAUUUGAGUUACUUGGAAACGGU